UGACGUGUCUUGUGACCUUCGAGCGCU
rnacentral:sRNA from 1 species